rnacentral:piRNA from 1 species
UAGUUCAUUAGAAAAGUUGAUAGGUAUC